CCUGCAGCCAGUUAGCAGCAUGGGGAAGGAGGUGCUACCAGCUGCGUGGUAGAGAAUCCCAUGUCACUUCAGCCUAAUGUGUGUGAAAGGUUGUCAGCUGCUUCUAAACAACAUGGAAGAAGAAGCCUUCCAGUGGGGAUGUUGCUGCCUCUCCAGAGCACCACUACACACCCCUACCUUCUGCUUCCAGAGAACUCACUAGUCACCGAGGGGACCCUGAAUAAGGACGGCCCGGCUUUGUUAUCCCAGCAUGGAUGGCUAGAAACGAAGGCUGAAGAGGUGCUCAGAAAAUACUGGAGCUGGACCUCAGAGGUGUCCUGGGCAAGUCCCGCUAUGUUUACUAUGGGAAAAACUCCGAAGGUAACAGGUUUAUCCGAGAUGAUCAGCUCUGAAGACAAACUUGAUAUGCCUUUGCCCAUUUUGUGA
rnacentral:lncRNA from 1 species